UACGAAGGGUGCAAGCGUUACUCGGAAUUACUGGGCGUAAAGCGUGCGUAGGCGGUUUGUUAAGUCCGCUUUGAAAGCCCUGGGCUCAACCUGGGAAUUGCAGUGGAUACUGGCAAGCUAGAGUGCGGAAGGGGCAACUGGAAUUCUCGGUGUAGCGGUGAAAUGCGUAGAUAUCGAGAGGAACACCUGCGGCGAAGGCGGGUUGCUGGGCCGACACUGACGCUGAUGCGCGAAAGCCAGGGGAGCGAACGGG
rnacentral:rRNA from 1 species